UACAGGGGGUGCAAACGUUGCUCGGAAUUAUUGGGCGUAAAGCGCGCGUAGGCGGCUACCUAAGUCGGAUGUGAAAGCCCCUGGCUUAACUGGGGAAGUGCACCCGAAACUGGGUAGCUAGAGUGCAAAAGAGGGUCGCGGAAUUCCCGGUGUAGAGGUGAAAUUCGUAGAUAUUCGGAGGAACACCAGUGGCGAAGGCGGCUUACUGGUCCAUUACUGACGCUGAGGUGCGAAAGCGUGGGGAGCAAACAGG
rnacentral:rRNA from 1 species